GAAUUCCAAAAUGCGACUCACAAAGAUGCUUAACAGAGAGUUAUUUAUAAUUUACAGUUAUGUAGAAAUUCAGCCGAGAUAUGAACCAUUGAAUUAACAUACAGCCCACGUAUUAGUCCAUAUCUCAGAACAUAAAAUUCAAAAGGUAUAUCCAUCUCCAAGGCCACUGAAGAAGACUACUUGUCGAAACGCAUUUGGCUUUGUUACACAUUUUGCAUUUCAUGGGCAUUGAGUUAUGUAUAUUGGCCAUUGUUUUAAAAGUUGCCCUUUACGUUCCUAUUGACAUUGUU